rnacentral:rRNA from 1 species
UACGUAGGGUGCAAGCGUUGUCCGGAAUUAUUGGGCGUAAAGAGCUCGUAGGCGGUUUGUUGCGUCGGCUGUGAAAUCCCGAGGCUCAACCUCGGGUCUGCAGUCGAUACGAGCAAACUAGAGUGUUGCAGGGGAGACUGGAAUUCCUGGUGUAGCGGUGGAAUGCGCAGAUAUCAGGAGGAACACCGAUGGCGAAGGCAGGUCUCUGGGCCACUACUGACGCUGAGACGCGAAAGCGUGGGGAGCGAACAGG